rnacentral:rRNA from 1 species
AAAGGGGCAAUGCAGCUUGUAAAGCUCUUUCGUCGAGUAUGCGAUUAUGACAAGAUCGAAGAAGAAGCCCCGGCUAACUCCGUGC